CCACAGAUCCUCAGAGGUUCGCCAAGUUCUCAAGUGAGUAGGGAUUGCUGCUGCUGGGGAAGUCACAGGACAGCAUGAUGUGAGUGGGGAAACCUGUCCCCAGUUGGAGAGCAAGGCCUCGAGAGAACAGCUUAGGACACGAUCGGUGCACAGAGUGGGGACCAGCCUUGUGUCUCAUCCCUAAUGCCCAACUGAAUGAACUUUAACAGUCUUGCAGGGCUGCUCGGCCAUUCUCCACUUCUCCGCCUGUUUAAGUGAAAUACAUUAGUUGAUCUUCACGGACAAAGAGAAGGUCAUUAAUUAGGCAGUGAGAUUUGGGACCAAGAUAUAAUGGUUGCCUCUGAUAUGAAAAGAAUUGAUGAGGAAGUUUCCAAGUGGAUUAAAGAAAACCUUAGAUUGCUCCCCUGUGGAGUUCUCCAUGACUCAAAUGAACCAGGCAGUUCUCCAUAUGAUUUGGAACUGUGUGGAUGUGCUAUAAUCUUUUGUGGGCUCUGCCAGUUUUCCUCUCGAUCAGUGACUCUACAAAGUAUUGUCUUUCGUGCUCAGUUUAAAGCCUUUAAUCAAAACCUUUUCUGCUCCUCUGAGCUACACAAAUGGAAGGUGUAUGCGUACCUCAUUUCUCUUGCCUUUUCUGUAUUCAUAUUGGUCUCGGGAGAGUGACUUCAUAUGAUAUAUUAAGCCUUUGAGUUUAUGAACUGUGCAAUCGUAAGAAAGAUGGUUAUUCUACUUUCCAAUGUUCUGGGCUUUUGUCUUCACAUCCAUCCGUUCAAUUAACUCAGAUCCUAUUAAUUCUGAAGAGUAAAUGAUGUUGAAAAAAAAAAGAAGUGGCUUAUAAUCAAAUGAGAUAUUUUACUGACAAAGGAAAUAAUCUCAAGGAUAUCUGUGUGUUUGCAUAAGGCGUAGGUGAAGACUUGAUAAAUUCUGCUGGACGAGGUGAUGUGGGAAGACAAAAGUACUCAGUAAAUGAAAUCUCUGAGAGAUCUUCUGAAUCAUUUCAUAAAGCAAGUUCAGAAUUUGAGAUAGCCAAGUUUAAUUCAGUUUUUAAUUCAAUUGUUCAAGCCAUCAGCCGAAUCUUACAAUUUUUCUUUGGUUACCUCAUAUCACCCGCUGGCAAAGUUGAAUUUGUGAAUUAUUUGAUUUUGAUUGAAGGACCGUCAUCUCAGAGUCCCCAAAGACCUGUAUUUCGAACAGGAAGAAGAAAAGAAAAAUGAGUUACCGAUGCCCUGAAAGCUCUCCCCAACUCUUAUCAGGUGCUGCAGAUAUUCUAGAGAUGGAAACAAUAGCAAAGAUCCUGCAUCACUGCCGAACUAUUAGAGUACAGAGCAGAUGUUGGUAUGGGAGGACAUUGUUGUUGGAGCCUCUCCUGGGUCUGCCGAGGAAAAAGCUGGCCUUAGUCCUGCAAUAUGCGGGCCGAAUAGUUCUCCUUGGUUACGCGGACCCUCAGACUGCAUUGAAGCUAGUGAUGUGAUUUCUGCCAAGUUCACAGGCAGGUCAAGAGAGCUGUGUACGUACCUUUGUGACAUUUCACUCAAAAUGCUGGUGGUGGGGUGAGGGGCACAAAGAGUAAUUGGAAGGCAACGCCUUCUGUUUUAUGUCUGUUUUAAAAUGCUAAAUGUAUUUCUUUACAGUCAUUAAAAGAAAAGACUGAUUUAAAGAGAUAUCAAGGAUGUGCUAUUAAAUGAUGCACGCAUAGCAGGUAUGCAUUGGUUGAACAUGGAGAAAACCAUGGAAGCGUUCCUGUUUGGCUGUAUAUUGGCUACGCAGGCUGGGGACAUUGGGAAGAGUGGUGAUGUGCCGCUAAGAGGCAUCGUAUUCUUCAGUGAGCAUAUGUUCUCAUAAAUUUGGAAGAGAAAUGUAAAAAAAAAAUUUAAAUGGACAAUUAUUUAUUGCUCACGUAGUCCUAAAGCAACAGGAGCACACAGUUAAAAAAGAGAAAACUGCAUCAUCCAGAGUAUCAGCCCUAUAAUCCAUAAUCCCUCAGUUUUCUGUUUUCUUUACUUCUUGUCCUAAUGGGUAUGUGUCAUUUUUCAUAGUUAAAGUCAUAGUAAAAAUAAAAUUUUUAUUCAGUUUUCCUGACUUACCUUGUGUUAGGUGUACCAUUUUAUUUUCCUUUAAUGUUAAUCAUUUAAUUCUUGACAUAUUGAUAAAACACCGUAGAGAGUCAGUAGCGUGAUUUACUUAACCAUCAUCAAUUUCUGGAGAUUUAAAUGUUUGUACUUUUCUUUGUUAAAGAUAUUAAAAUAAUGUAUAGUUUCUGUA